CUGAUUUUGAAAUGCACAACACAAGGACUGUGACUGACUGUGAUCAGUUAUUUUGAUUUUGUUUUAUUGCUAAGUGCUUCAUAAAAGUAUGCCAACCUAAGACCUCUCCUAGGAGUUAGUCUCCUCUGUCCAGAGUGCCCUUCAAAUGUUAUUUUAAUCAAUGAACAAAGAAUUGCUUUGAUUUCUUCCUAAAUACUAAACUGAAGAAAAGUUAAAGGAGGAUAUCUAAUGACUGCCAGACUUGAAAACAGGAUAGACAAAGAUUUGCACACAGAGCAGUGCCCGUGCCAAGUUAAAUCCAUAUUUAAAUCCUCUACUCGACAGACACUGCAUGUAAAUGAACAUUCUUUGGCAUAGGUUUAUGCAGUGGGGGCACGCCAGAGAGCAAAAUCCCACUCUAGUCAAACUGAAGCAUUCAUAUCUGCAUAAUGUCUUUGUCUAUUUCCUGUUCAAUUCUAUAAUUGAGAACUAGGGUUGUGAAAUAAUUAGAGAGGGUCUUUGCCACACACACAUGCACGGCUGACAAUGUGGCUGUCAAUGCAGUGCAGUAUGAUUCCAUGUUAAGUGUGUGACCAGUGUGUGACCAGUGUGCUGGGUUGCGGAGUGGAGUGGAUAUAUGAUGGAGUUUGUUCCAGAGCAGAGCUGCAACAGAUGGGGCUGACAGGACUGCGUGCCAUACCUCUGAACCUCUGAAGCCCCAUCAGCAGGACAUGGGCGCCCUGUUCCAUAAAACCUGUUACACAUGAAACGUGAUGAAAGUGAUGAAUGGUAUGGAUGAGAGGCCGAGCCAGGCAGCGUCCUCCUGGGCCCCAGGUGGCCAGUCGUCCAGUCCCUCCUACGAGUCCUCCAGGGUAAGAACCCUGGCCAACUCACUCCCCGUGCACUCCCUCACCUCACCCCUCUGUCUCCCUCUGCCUGGGCUUUCUGCACCACAUCAUUUAACACUCAUUACAUCAAUGUGUUACAUUACAUUCACAGCUCACUGCAGAGGCAGGGAGGGAGAGAGCACCAGUCAUGUUGUGUGACCUGUAAUUGGCAUAAUUUUCUUUUCCAGUAUGACCUAAUUGCAUGGCACCAAUAUCCUCUUAAGUGAUGGGUUUAAAUAUGUUGUCAUUUGCAUUGGAUUAUUUGUGCUAAGCUGAAAUAUUAAGCAUUUGUCAGGGGAAGCUGAUUAAUGUUGUGUGCUUUGGAACAUUAUGGCUACAUUGUGGAAUUCUGAAUUGGGGAAAAUUACUCCACCAUUUAUAGAUCUGUGCCAAUAUUAGGAUUUAAAGUGCAAACUAUAUUUAUGGUAGUGGAC
rnacentral:lncRNA from 8 species